GUCCUGCAGCACUAUCACAAUAAAGUAGAUCCGAUUGCCUUUGUGAAUUUGCAACAGAAUGUGGAGCAAAGAAUCCAAAGGCACUUUCAUCGACAAAACUUCACAAAAACAUAGAAACACUGUUCAAGUUCUGAACCUCAAUUAUACAGAAUUGGAUCAGCUGGCUGACUUUUUAGGGUAUGAUGUUAGGGUACAUAGACAAUAUUACCGACUUCCUGAGGGCACUCUCCAGCUGGCUAAGAUGAGCAAGAUUUUGAUGGCAUUAGAGACUGAAAGACUUGGGGAGUUCAGUGGAAAAAACCUGGAUGAAAUUGACAUUGACUCAAAUGAAGCAGUACUUGUUCAGAUUUGUCAAAGGAUUUGUCCGGAACAGAGAGUGAAUCUGAUGGUGUUAAGAAAAAAAGGAGGUUAAGAAAAAAAACAAGGGAGACCAGUGAAGUAAACGAAGUUGAAAAGCUUCUGUCCAGGUUCAUCAAAACUUGCACAGUACCAGGAAAAAGCCAUUGUGAGGCUUGCAUACAAGCUGAACCUGUUGCAUUGAAAGACUGGGAUUGGUUGUCUAAGUUCUUUAUAAACAACUGCUCUCAAAAGGAAGAUGUGUGUCUGGGGCGGGGCGACUAUUCACUCAUGAUGUCAUCAGGGCUAUGGGUUCGUUAAAUGAGCGACCAAUCAUCUUUGCUCUGAGCAAUCCGACUGCUAAAGCUGAGUGUACUGCAGAGGAUGCAUACACUCUCACACAGGGUCGGUGUUUGUUUGCCAGUGGGAGUCCGUUUGCUGCUGUAACUCUGGAUGAUGGCAGGAUGGUGAUUCUGGGACAGGGGAACAAUGCUUACAUAUUCCCAGGUGUGGCUCUGGCAGUAAUUCUGAGUGGUGUUAGACACAUCAGUGAUACGGUGUUCCUCGAGGCUGCUAAGAUCUUAGCAGAGCAGUUGACGGAUGAGGAACUGAAUCAGAAUCAGGGUCGUCUCUACCCUCCUCUUUCCAACAUUAGGGAGGUUUCUUUACAGAUGGCUGUGAGGAUAAGAUUUGUGUUUAUACAUACACACAAUGUGGUGGAGUUUCUGUACAGUAAAGGAAUGGCAUUUCGGUACCCAGAGCCACUGGAUAAAGAGGCGUAUGUGAGAUCCAUUGUGUGGAACACGGAGUACGAUUCCUUCCUCCCAGACAUCGAACGGGCUUGAGUGUCCCAUAGUCCUAUAGUGGAGUAAUCAUACACCCUAUAGCAUACACCUGAAACAGUCACACCCUUCAUUUACAGCUGUGUAAUGUUUAACUAUCACACAUCCCCAUGGGGAGUGAUUCCUAAACUCCUUCUGCUAAUGUAAAUGUACAGUGUUGCUAUUAAUAAAACACUCCACGUGUG